AUACUCUGGUUUCUCUUCAGAGUGUAUACAUCUUUCGCCUUUUACUAAAGAUUUCCACAGAGAGAAACAACGCUGAGUCUUUAACCAAUUUUUUUGAGACCUCGCUUAUGCAGGGUU